GCUUAUUUUAUUUUCACUAUAUACAUCCGCAGAGAAAAAAUUAUAUAUUAUAUACAGUUGGUACGGAUUAUUUAAUGAACUAUUUCAAAAUUAAUGAGUUAUUUCAAAAGAGUAACGAUACAUAAACGUGUUUCGAAAACCGAUUCUUUUAAGAAUCGAAUGCAAAUGAAAUUUUGGCGACAUUGUCCUCGUUUCUCCUGUGUUGCAAUGCUGUGCGUGUCUUCUUUAAUUGUAUAUCAAGGCUUAAAUAUUGUAUGUAUUGGAAUACUUUUGAAUUAGCAAAGAUUUUGCAUUCAUGCAGUUAAUCUAAAUUGCAUUAUACGCUAUUUUAAGCCAGGCCUUCAUAUAUUGAAUUUAAUUAAAAAUUAAUUGUAUAAACAGUUUCAAUUCAGCGCCAUUGCCUUUGCAUCAUAUCAAAACUAUUUCGCUUAAUUAAUUGUUAUUUAAUAAGAAAAUUUACAGAUAACAAGCAGUUUCUGACACUUUAUGCCAUCCAUUGAAUGUCGUUGCAAACGUAACAAACGGAAAUGUGUAUUCGACAUUCAAUUACCACAGAUUCCUUUCAGAACUUUAAAAGCUUCUUUCCUCAACACUGGUCUUGUCCAGAAGAAGAUGAGGGAGUUAAGUAUUGUAUUUACUCCAAGGGCUGUGGCGUACCAAGCAAUUAUGACCCUAUAUAAUAUUAUGUCCUUUUCGAGAUAAUAAAUGUUGAGGAACUCGCCGGGAAUACAAAAAAUAUAGAAAGUAACUACAACCAAUGCACAAGACUUGGCAAGCUUUAAUUCCUUCGCGGAAUAUCGUUUUCCAACACGUGAUUUCGGGUCCGUUUCUUGACUACUUGUGUUGCUGCAGUUGUGUCGUAGCAGUCUUUUCCUUGCUGAAUACAAAAUCUGUGAGUAGCAAAAUGUAUGUAGCAGCAUGGGAAUAAUUGCGUAGACCGCGCAAAAAAUGUAGUAGAAUGUGGCAGAAACCACAGCCAAGGGGACGAUUAUUAACGUUACUAAUAUAACACAACAAAUGUAUACUAAAAACAUUUUCUUUGUAACGUAGUUGAGAUGUGCAAUUGGAUGCAAAACCCCCAUGUAUCUUUCAAAAGUCAAUGCGCAUAAAGCUGCUAAGGAUAAUCCCCACG